rnacentral:rRNA from 1 species
AGCACUUUGAAAAGAGAGUCAAAGAGACCGCGAAACCGUUGGGAGGGAAACGAAUGUAGCCAUGAAGACUCCACUCAGGUUCAUGGCGCCGUGGAGUGAGUGUUGCCGUCGGCGUGAGUUCCUCUGGUGCCCGUCCGUGGCAAGCUUGCCGAGGCGUCUGCAAUCCCGUUUGGAGUCCGCCAACGGCGGUUGUCUGCGGUCCAGCAGGGUUGGAGGGAGGUGCCUCCACCUCGUGAUUCGUCUCGGGGAGGAGAACGUAUAGCCUCCGGCCUGGUGACCGGAGACGGCCGAGGAGAGUUGCGACCCUUCGCACCGUGCAGUGCAGGCUCCCUUGGGGGCCGGGUCGCUUGUGAGCUUGCGUUCUUCGCGGCGAGAUACUGCGUGCAGUGCUCGUUGACGUAAAGGGCGCUCGCCCGCGAGGUCGACCACGAUGUGCACUGUAGUCGUUGGUGUGCGUAUGGCUCCAUCCGACCCGUCUUGAAACACGGACCAAGGAGUGCAAGAGGCGUGCGAGUCUUUGGGUGUUUAAAACCCUUGGGCGAAAUGAGAGUGAAGGGGGUUUCCCCCGAGGCGAGAGCCCGUCCCGAGCGGGCGCAUCGUCGACCGAUCCCAGGCUACGCUGUGGUGGGAUUCGAGUGAGAGCGUGCCUGUUGCGACCCGAAAGAUGGUGAACUAUGCCUGAAUGGGGCGAAGCCAGAGGAAACUCUGGUGGAAGCUCGCAGCGGUUCUGACGUGCAAAUCGAUCGUCAAAUUUGGGUAUAGGGGCGAAAGACUAAUCGAACCGUCUAGUAGCUGGUUCCCUCCGAAGUUUCCCCCAGGAUAGCUGGAGCCCGGUGCAGUUUUAUCAGGUAAAGCGAAUGAUUAGAGGUCUUGGGGUUGAAACAACCUCAACCUAUUCUCAAACUUUAAAUGGGUAAGAAGCUCGGCUUGCUUGGCUGAAGUCGGGCGUUUGAAUGCCGGGGCUCCUAGUGGGCCAUUUUUGGUAAGCAGAACUGGCGAUGCGGGAUGAACCGAACGCUGGGUUAAGGUGCCCGAAUCGACGCUCAUCAGAUCCCAUAAAAGGUGUUGGUUGAUUUAGACAGCAGGACGGUGGCCAUGGAAGUCGGAAUCCGCUAAGGAGUGUGUAACAACUCACCUGCCGAAUCAACUAGCCCUGAAAAUGGAUGGCGCUGAAGCGUCGUACCCAUACCCGGCCGUCGGGGCGAGAAUCGUGCCCCGACGUGUAGGAGGGCGCGGCGGUGGCUGUGCAUCCCGAGGCGCGAGCCUGGGCGAAGCCGCCGCUGGUGCAGAUCUUGGUGGUAGUAGCAAAUAUUCAAAUGAGGGGUUUGAAGACCGACGUGGAGCAGGGUUCCAUGUGACCAUCAGUUGGACAUGGGUUAGUCGAUCCUAAGAGAAGGGAGAGCUCCCUGGUGAGGGCGCACUCGUUCACGCGAGGGCGCCGCGACUCGAAAGGGAAUCGGGUUAACAUUCCCGAACCGGGAUGCGGAUGGGCCUUCGGGCCAUCAGCGGCAACGCAAGCGACCUCGGAAACGUCGGCGAGAGCUCCGGCAAGAGUUGUCUUUUCUUGUUAACAGGCCGUGUCCCCUGGAAUCAGGUUGGCUGGAGAUAGGGUCCGGUGCCUGGUAAAGCGCCACACUUGUUGUGGCGUCCGGUGCGCUCUCGACGGCCCUUGAAAAUCCGAGCGAGCGGUUGAUUCUCGCGCCCGGUCGUACCGAUAAC